rnacentral:rRNA from 1 species
AGAGUUUGAUCCUGGCUCAGAAUGAACGCUUGUGACAUGCUUUACACAUGCAAGUCGUACGUUAAGAAAACUUUAUGUUUUUUUAAAGUGGCAUACGGGUGAGUAAAUAACUAGAUAAAAAUGCCUUUAAGAUUGCUUAAUUCUAUGCUUUUGCAAGAAAAAUGGCGAAUAAAGUAUUUUUGUGAAAAAAGAAAAAAAGAAAAAAAGGGAAUAGUUUAUAUUCUGCUUAAAGAUUUUGCUAGUUAGUCUUAGGUUGUUGGUAAGGUAAAAGCUCACCAAGCCGAUAAUGCUUAGCUGGUCUGAGAGGACGAUCAGCCACAUUGGGACUGAGACAAGGCCCAAACUUAUUAAAGGCAGCAGUGGGGAAUAUUGGACAAUGGGAGAAAUCCUGAUCCAGCAAUGUUGCUAGGAUGAUUAAAAACUGUAAAAAUAACCAGGUUUUAAAAUUCUGUUGCCAAGGAAGAUAAUGACAUUACUUGGAAAAGUAGCUCCGGCCAACUUUGUGCCAGCAGCCGCGGUAAUACAAAGGGAGCGUGCGUUAUUCAUACGAACUGGGCGUAAAGCGUCUUUAGGCUGUUUAGAGAGUGUUAACAUCGAAAUAUCA